GGAGCCUAUCCUUCCUCUGUCCCCAAAGAAUCUGUUAGUCAUAACCUCCAUCCCUGAUCAAAUACCAUCUCUAAAAGAUAGGGAGGGGGUGGGGAGGAAGUGGAUAUUUAAAAACUAAGAACGUUUUAUGUUCUUUACCUGACAAGAUGGACUAUUCACUUGAUGUGUCUAUUUAAGUUGUUUUGUUCAAAUGCCCCCCGCCUCUAUUCUGUGGUUGGAGAUUCAGAAAAGAGAAAAUAAUUUUAGAGAAACAAAGAUAGCAUGCUGUCUCUGCACAUCUGUGAGUGGGGUGACAAAAACCUGCAACCUUCCUCACAUAGGAGCAUUGCCAGCCCUUUCCAUCCUCCUCCCCACUGCUAAAUUGGGUUCUGCUUGGGCUGCUCCGUUCCUCCCACCCACCCACAUGCAACUGUGCAGAAGAGCUUAGAGGGUCCAGACCAGCUCUUUGGGCUUUUGGGUGCAAAAUGAAGAGAAUGGGAAGGAGACUAGAGAUGGAUCUGCCACAUGGGUGGAUUCUAAGGAGAAACAAAGAAAUAACAAGUUUGUCUUGAGUGAGCCUCUAGAAUGAAAUGUGUCCAGAGGUGUUGGGGUGGGAGAGGAAGACAGGCAUAUAGAACUGACAGAUGGUGUUAUUCUGGCGAGAGACAGCAAGAGGCCAGUUACUGCUGCACUUUAGAGGGGAUAUAAGAUGGAUGUGGAUAGGAGUUGCUGUGGACUCCAUUCUGUAUCUUUGCUAUCCCCUGCAAUUUAAGGGAGUUCUUAUCCAGACUGUUUCUUUGAACCCCAUUCAGUCACCAGUGCACAGAGAUCUCAGCCUUGACAGUUGACAAGCACAGUGCCUCGAUGCUAUAUAAGAGAUGACUAAUGUAAAGGAAAGAUUCUCAACUGGGGUGGUGGUUUUUAUCUCCUAGAGGACAUUUGAGGCAUGGUCUGAUGUAUCCCAGGAAGGUUUCUAACUCAUUAUAUAGCUGAUGAUGACCUUGAAUUUUGCUUUGUUCCUCCUGCCUCUGCUUCUGAGUGCUGAGAUUAUAGGUACAGCCACUGCUCCUAGAUUUAUGCAGCUCUGGGCAUCCAGGGUCUUGUGCAUGCCGGGCAAGCACUGUGACACUGAUCUACCUUCUCAGCUCCUGAAGACAUUUUCAAUUGUCCAAUGGAGACACGCUGGCAGCACUUGAACAGAGGCUGAAGGUACUGCCAAGCGUCUUCCACUGUACAGACGGCCCUCCACAGCAAAGCAUCCCAGGGUAGCCUUGUCUGGACUGGAACUUGACAUAUAGACCAAGCUCGAAGAAACUGGCCUGUAG
rnacentral:lncRNA from 1 species